rnacentral:rRNA from 1 species
CCCUUAGAUGUUCUGGGCCGCACGCGCGCUACACUGAUGCAUUCAACGAGUUUCUUCCUGGUCCGAGAGGAAUGGGUAACCUUUUGAAAGUGCAUCGUGAUAGGGAUAGACUAUUGCAAUUAUUGGUCUUCAACGAGGAAUUCCUAGGAGACGUAGUUCAUCAGACUGCAUCGAUUACGUCCCUGCCCUUUGUACACACCGCCCGUCGCUCCUACCGAUUGAAUGCUCAGGUGAGCCAUUCGGACUUUCAUCAUGCUGGUUUCCAGUUUUGAUGAAGGAAAGUCUUGCGAACCUUAUCAUUUAGAGGAAGGAGAAGUCGUAACA